CAAAUGCAAGACGCAUUUCUUGUAAAUGUGAAUGUUACUGAGGAGGGAACAGAUGUAAUGGUGUCCAUCUGCAAUGGUGUCCUUUACAAACAAAGCUGUAUAUCUCUUGGAGGGGAGCAACUGGCCCAACAAACUGCUGUUGAAUCGAACCACAAACAAGAAUGGACGGGCUGGGUUCUCCAUAAACAGUGCUAAUCUUAAGGCUGAUCUGAAUCUGGUGGCGAGUGCUAAUCCAGAGGUUUUUUAUGGUUGUAAAUCGCCAUACUUCACUACAGAUACAAGUGACCGUGGAGUAUUCAUUUGUUGGAGAGGCUGGUAGCUACAGCGCUGACAUAAUCUAUAUGGUCUCAUCCAAAGGAGUGAUCGUCCUCCAUGGAUUUGAUUGAUGCAGUCACAAGUGGCUCUGUGACGUUCCAGUUGUCUGUCAGCGUCGAUAUGGCUCCAGCAGUGCAGAUUCUGGUCUACAGCGUUCUUCCCAGUGAGAAUGUAGUUGCUGCUAGUGUGCCGUUUGACACCGAUAUGUGUUUCCAGAACCAGGUGUCUCUGCAGUUUUCUCCAGCUACGGUUGUUCCUGCGGAGGGAAACGUUCUGAAGGUUUCUGCUCAAGCAGGAUCUCUGUGUGGCCUCAGUGCUGUAAAUCAGAGCGUCCGGAUCAUGGAGCCAGGAUCAUGGAGCCAGGAAGACGUCUGAGUGCUGAAAGGGUGUCUGAGUGCCUCAAUCAGGUUUUUUGUUUGGGCUUUUAAUCUGAAUAUUUCAGUGUGUGGCACUUCUGAUUAGAAUGCCACUUUAGUUUACUCCGGCCGUCUGUGCGACCGUCCGUCUGUCUGUCUGUCUGUCCGUCCGUCCAUGCGUGCGACCGUCUGUGCGUGCGACCGUCCGUCCGUCCGUGAGUGCGUCCGUGCGUGCGAACGUCCGUCCGUGCGUCCGUCUGUCCGUCCAUCAGACACAAAGACCUAGGCGCCGCAGAAUGGAGAAGCCAUGGCGUGAAGAGUCCCAACACUAGUCUCCCAAGUCUUUGAGGUGAAAAAAAUACGGUAAGUUGUUGUGUAAGGGAAGUUCAAUGACUGAUCUGAGGCCUUAAUCUAAAGCGCUUUGUUUCUGGUUUAGUUUCGCCCAAGUUUGACUUGACCUUAUACGCACCACAGACCUACAGCGUUGCAGUUAUGGGACUGAAAGUUGAGUCUUGUGCCAAAUGUACAUAUGGCCAACCUGUACCUGGUCAAGUCUUAGUGGAAGUGUUCUGUGAUCCAUUUCCAUACAGUCUGCUUCAUAAUUUGACCAGACAGUUCCUGACUAAAACCGCAAAGAUGAAUGCCACGGGCUGUGCCUCUCUUACUGUUGAUGCGUCAGUGUUUUUCAACACCAAAUUUGAAGACCAAAUGCAAGACGCAUUUCUUGUAAAUGUGAAUGUUACUGAGGAGGGAACAGAUGUAAUGGUGUCCAUCUGCAAUGGUGUCCUUUACAAACAAAGCUGUAUAUCUCUUGGAGGGGAGCAACUGGCCCAACAAACUGCUGUUGAAUCGAACCACAAACAAGAAUGGACGGGCUGGGUUCUCCAUAAACAGUGCUAAUCUUAAGGCUGAUCUGAAUCUGGUGGCGAGUGCUAAUCCAGAGGUUUUUUAUGGUUGUAAAUCGCCAUACUUCACUACAGAUACAAGUGACCGUGGAGUAUUCAUUUGUUGGAGAGGCUGGUAGCUACAGCGCUGACAAUCUAUAUGGUCUCAUCCAAAGGAGUGAUCGUCCUCCAUGGAUUUGAUUGAUGCAGUCACAAGUGGCUCUGUGACGUUCCAGUUGUCUGUCAGCGUCGAUAUGGCUCCAGCAGUGCAGAUUCCGGUCUACAGCGUUCUUCCCAGUGAGAAUGUAGUUGCUGCUAGUGUGCCGUUUGACACCGAUACGUGUUUCCAGAACCAGGUGUCUCUGCAGUUUUCUCCAGCUACGGUUGUUCCUGCGGAGGGAAACGUUCUGAAGGUUUCUGCUCAAGCAGGAUCUCUGUGUGGCCUCAGUGCUGUAAAUCAGAGCGUCCGGAUCAUGGAGCCAGGAUCAUGGAGCCAGGAAGACGUCUGAGUGCUGAAAGGGUGUCUGAGUGCCUCAAUCAGGUUUUUUGUUUGGGCUUUUAAUCUGAAUAUUUCAGUGUGUGGCACUUCUGAUUAGAAUGCCACUUUAGUUUACUCCGGCCGUCUGUGCGACCGUCCGUCUGUCUGUCUGUCUGUCCGUCCGUCCAUGCGUGCGACCGUCUGUGCGUGCGA